GACGAACGCUGGCGGCGUGCUUAACACAUGCAAGUCGAACGGAAAGGCCCUGCUUUUGUGGGGUGCUCGAGUGGCGAACGGGUGAGUAACACGUGAGUAACCUGCCCUUGACUUUGGGAUAACUUCAGGAAACUUGGGCUAAUACCGUAUAGUAGCUCCUGCUGCAUGGUGGGGGUUGGAAAGUUUCGGCGGUUGGGGAGGGACUCGCGGCUUAUCAGCUUGUUGGUGGGGUAGUGGCUUACCAAGGCUUUGACGGGUAGCCGGCCUGAGAGGGUGACCGGCCACAUUGGGACUGGGGUAACGGCCAGAAUCCUACCGGAGGCAGCAGUGGGGAAUUAUGCACAAUGGGCGGAAGACUGAUGUAGCACAGCCGCGUGCGGGAUGACAACCUUCGCGUUGUAAACCGCUUUUGCCUGUGACGAAGCGUGAGUGACGGUAAUAGGUAAAGAAGCACCGGCUAACUACGUG
rnacentral:rRNA from 1 species